UACGGAGGGUGCUAGCGUUGUUCGGAAUCACUGGGCGUAAAGGGCGUGUAGGCGGUCUGUUAAGUCUGAUGUGAAAUCCCCUCGCUUAACGAGGGAACUGCGUCGGAUACUGGCAGACUCGAGUACCGGAGAGGAAGGUGGAAUUCCCGGUGUAGCGGUGAAAUGCGUAGAUAUCGUAAGGAAGACCAGUGGCGAAGGCGGGUCUCUGGACAGUUCCUGACGCUGAGGCACGAAGGCCAGGGGAGCAAACGGG
rnacentral:rRNA from 1 species